rnacentral:ribozyme from 1 species
UGCCCAGCAACUCCUAUCCCUACCUCCUCGCGGUACCGACCGGAAACUAUGAGCAACCUUAGGGAAGAUCGGGUAACCAACCCCGGUGGGAACUUUGGUCGUAAGCUAACAGGGAAGG